UACGUAGGGUGCAAGCGUUGUCCGGAUUUAUUGGGCGUAAAGAGCUCGUAGGCGGUUUGUCGCGUCGGAUGUGAAAACCCAGGGCUCAACCCGGGGCCUGCAUUCGAUACGGGCAGACUAGAGUAUGGCAGGGGAGACUGGAAUUCCUGGUGUAGCGGUGAAAUGCGCAGAUAUCAGGAGGAACACCGGUGGCGAAGGCGGGUCUCUGGGCCGUUACUGACGCUGAGGAGCGAAAGCGUGGGGAGCGAACAGG
rnacentral:rRNA from 1 species